UACGAAGGGGGCUAGCGUUGCUCGGAAUCACUGGGCGUAAAGCGCACGUAGGCGGCUUGUUAAGUCAGGGGUGAAAUCCUGGAGCUCAACUCCAGAACUGCUUUUGAUACUGGCGAUCUUGAGUCCGGGAGAGGUGAGUGGAACUGCGAGUGUAGAGGUGAAAUUCGUAGAUAUUCGCAAGAACACCAGUGGCGAAGGCGGCUCACUGGCCCGGUACUGACGCUGAGGUGCGAAAGCGUGGGGAGCAAACAGG
rnacentral:rRNA from 1 species